GACGAACGCUGGCGGCGUGCCUAACACAUGCAAGUCGAGCGGGGUUGAAGCGAGGGGUAACUCGAACUUCUACCUAGCGGCGGACGGGUGAGUAACGCGUGGGCAACCUGCCUCAAGGUCUGGGAUAACAGCUCGAAAGGGCUGCUAAUACCGGAUAUGCCUAUAGCCUCGCAUGGGGCUAUGAGCAAAGGGGAAACCCGCCUUGAGAUGGGCCCGCGUCCCAUCAGCUAGUUGGUGAGGUGAAGGCUCACCAAGGCGACGACGGGUAGCCGGCCUGAGAGGGUGACCGGCCACACUGGGACUGAGACACGGCCCAGACUCCUACGGGGGGCAGCAGUGGGGAAUCUUGCACAAUGGGCGAAAGCCUGAUGCAGCGACGCCGCGUGAGCGAAGAAGGCCUUCGGUGUAAGCUCUGUCUGGAGGGACGAAGAAGUGACGGUACCUCCGGAGGAAGCCACGGCUAACUACGUGCCAGCAGCCGCGGUAAAACGUAG
rnacentral:rRNA from 1 species